CCCUAAACUUAGAUAUUUAAUAAACAAAAAUAUCCGCCAGAGAACUACGAGCAAAACGCUUAAAACUCUAAGGACUUGGCGGUACCUCAAACCCCCCUAGAGGAGCCUGUUCUAUAAUCGAUAAUCCACGAUUCACCUCACCAUCUCUUGCUAAUACAGCCUAUAUACCACCGUCACCAGCUUACCCCAUGAGGGCACAAAAGUAGGCAAAACAACCAAACAGUUAACAAGUCAGGUCAAGGUGUAGCUUACUGAGAUGGAAGAAAUGGGCUACAUUUUCUACACUAGAAAUAUUUACGGAAAGGAACUAUGAAAUAAGUCCUAUAAGCAGGAUUUAGCAGUAAACUAGAAUGAGAAUGCCUAAUUUAAGCUGGUCCUGUGGUGCGC
rnacentral:rRNA from 1 species